UACGUAGGGUGCGAGCGUUGCCCGGAUUUAUUGGGCGUAAAGGGCGCGUAGGCGGCCUUCUAAGUCGAACGUGAAAUCCCCGGGCUCAACCCGGGAACUGCGUCCGAUACUGGCAGGCUUGAAUCCGGGAGAGGGAUGCGGAAUUCCAGGUGUAGCGGUGAAAUGCGUUGAGAUCGGAAGGAACGCCCGUGGCGAAAGCGGUUGCCUGGAGCUUUGCUGACGCUGAUGCGCGAAAGCGUGGGGAGCGAUCCGG
rnacentral:rRNA from 1 species